rnacentral:rRNA from 1 species
AUUGAACGCUGUCGGCAGGCCUAACACAUGAAAGUCGAACGAGUUGCGGACGGUUGAGUAUUGUCUGUUAAACUGCCUGAUGGAGGGGGAUAACUACUGUAACCGGUAGCUAAUACCACAUGCCAUCAAAUGUGCCCAUACGGGAUUGGCUAGUUGGUGGGGUCACGGCUCACCAAGGCGCCGAUCCCUAGCUGGUCUGAGGGGACGACCAGCAACACUGGAUCUGAGACACGGUCCAGACUCCUCCGGGAGUCAGCAGUGGGGAAUAUUGCACAAUGGGCGCAAGCCUGAUGCAGCCAGGCCGCGUGUAUGAAGAAGGCCUUCGGGUUGUAAAGUACUUUCAGCGGGGAGGCGUUACCCGCAGAAGAAGCACCGGCUAACUCCGUGCCAGCAGCCGCGGUAAUUC